rnacentral:rRNA from 1 species
GAUGAAUGCUGGCGGCGUGCCUAACACAUGCAAGUCGAGCGGCAGCGAGUUUUACACUGAAUUCUGGAAGCUUCUGGGUAAUAUAGAAGAUCUAUUCAAGAAUUUUGUGUAAAAUGUCGGCGAGCGGCGGACGGCUGAGUAACGCGUAGGAAUUUGCCCCAAAGUGAGGAAUAACUGCCCGAAAGGGUAGCUAAUGCCGCAUAUGGUCUUCGGAUUAAAGCCUUCGGGCGCUUUGGGAGAAGCCUGCGUUGGAUUAGGUAGUUGGUAGGGUAAUGGCCUACCAAGCCGACGAUCCAUAGCUGGUCUGAGAGGAUGAUCAGCCAGACUGGAACUGAGACACGGUCCAGACUCCUACGGGAGGCAGCAGUGAGGAAUCUUCCACAAUGGGCGAAAGCCUGAUGGAGCAACGCCGCGUGAAGGAUGAAGGCCUUCGGGUUGUAAACUUCUUUUAUGAGUGAAGAAUAUGACGGUAACUCAUGAAUAAGCACCGGCUAACUACGUGCCAGCAGCCGCGGUCAUACGUAGGGUGCAAGCAUUAUCCGGAGUGACUGGGCGUAAAGAGUUGCGUAGGCGGUUUAAUAAGUGAAUAGUGAAACCUGGUGGCUCAACCAUACAGACUAUUAUUCAAACUGUUAAACUCGAGAAUGGUAGAGGUAACUGGAAUUUCUAGUGUAGGAGUGAAAUCCGUAGAU